rnacentral:rRNA from 1 species
AUUGAACGCUGGCGGCAUGCUUUACACAUGCCAGUCGAACGGUAACAGGCCGCAAGGUGCUGACGAGUGGCGAACGGGUGAGUAAUGCAUCGGAACGUGCCCAGUCGUGGGGGAUAACUACUCGAAAGAGUAGCUAAUACCGCAUACGAUCUAUGGAUGAAAGCGGGGGACCGUAAGGCCUCGCGCGAUUGGAGCGGCCGAUGUCAGAUUAGGUAGUUGGUGGGGUAAAGGCUCACCAAGCCAACGAUCUGUAGCUGGUCUGAGAGGACGACCAGCCACACUGGGACUGAGACACGGCCCAGACUCCUACGGGAGGCAGCAGUGGGGAAUUUUGGACAAUGGGCGCAAGCCUGAUCCAGCAAUGCCGCGUGCAGGAAGAAGGCCUUCGGGUUGUAAACUGCUUUUGUACGGAACGAAACAGCUCUGGUUAAUACCCGGGGCUAAUGACGGUACCGUAAGAAUAAGCACCGGCUAACUACGUG